rnacentral:rRNA from 1 species
AGCGAACGUUAGCGGCGGGCUUAACACAUGCAAGUCGAGCGAGAGAGUGACUUCGGUCAUGAGUAAAGCGGCAGACGGGUGAGGAACACGUAGGUAAUUUUCCGUUUAGUGGGGGACAACGGUCCGAAAGGACCGCUAAUACCGCAUACGUUUCUUGGGACUUUGGUCUUGGGAAGGAAAGCUGGGCAACUGGCGCUAAAAUGAGAAGCCUGCGUCGCAUCAGCUAGUUGGUGGGGUAAUGGCCUACCAAGGCGAAGACGCGUAGCUGGUCUGAGAGGAUGAUCAGCCACACUGGAACUGAGACACGGUCCAGACUCCUACGGGAGGCAGCAGUGGGGAAUAUUGGACAAUGGGCGCAAGCCUGAUCCAGCCACGCCGCGUGAGUGAUGAAGGCCUUCGGGUCGUAAAGCUCUGUGGGAGAGACGAACCGCUGGGUAACCCGUUCUAGCAUGACGGUAUCUCCUUAGUCAAGCACCGGCUAACUUCGUGCCAGCAGCCGCGGUAA